GAAUAUUGGACAAUGGGGGAAACCCUGAUCCAGCAAUGCCGCGUGUGUGAAGAAGGCCUGCGGGUUGUAAAGCACUUUCGGCGGGAAAGAAAAGUCGCGCGUUAAUACCGUGCGGCCUUGACGUUACCCGCAAAAGAAGCACCGGCUAACUCCGUGCCAGCAGCCGCGGUAAUACGGAGGGUGCAAGCGUUAAUCGGAAUUACUGGGCGUAAAGCGCACGUAGGCGGGAAAUUAAGUCGGAUGUGAAAUCCCCGGGCUUAACCUGGGAACUGCAUCCGAUACUGGUUGCCUAGAGUAUGGAAGAGGGAAGCGGAAUUCCAGGUGUAGCGGUGAAAUGCGUAGAUAUCUGGAGGAACAUCAGUGGCGAAGGCGGCUUCCUGGUCCAAUACUGACGCUGAGGUGCGAAAGCGUGGGGAGCAAA
rnacentral:rRNA from 1 species